UACGGAGGGUGCGAGCGUUGUCCGGAAUCACUGGGCGUAAAGGGCGCGUAGGCGGCCUGAUAAGUAGGGGGUGAAAUCCUGCGGCUUAACCGCAGGGCUGCCUUCUAAACUGUCAGGCUCGAGCACAGUAGAGGCAGGGUGGGAAAUUCCCGGUGUAGCGGUGGGAAAUGCGUAGGAGAUCGGGGAAAGAACAUCGAAGUGGCGAAGGCGG
rnacentral:rRNA from 1 species